rnacentral:snRNA from 1 species
AUCGCUUCUCAGCCUUUUGACCAAAAUCGAAGUAUUGUAUCUGCUCCUAUCACUUUAAUAUUUGAUAUGUUCCUAAUAUGGAGCCUUCAAUAUUAAACUGAUUUUUCUUUUUUGUUCUUCGGCGAAGAUUUACUUUACUUCGGCUGACCUGAUAUAGUAGUAUAUGCACA